GACAGAGGGUGCGAACGUUGUUCGGAAUUACUGGGCGUAAAGCGCAUGUAGGCGGCAGCGCAAGUCGGGCGUGAAAUCCCACGGCUCAACCGUGGAAGUGCACUCGAAACUGCGCAGCUAGAGUCCUGGAGAGGAAGGUGGAAUGCUUGGUGUAGAGGUGAAAUUCGUAGAUAUCAAGCGGAACACCAGUGGCGAAGGCGGCGACCUGGGCCAAUAUUGACGCUGAGGUGCGAAAGCGUGGGGAGCAAACAGG
rnacentral:rRNA from 1 species